rnacentral:lncRNA from 1 species
UUUUCCAGCUGGUUCUGAACUCUCCUGUCGGACACUCAGUCACUCACACGUACAUGAGACUGUUGUCCAUUUUUCCUGUACAACAUCCCAGCCCUGUGAUUUCUCAAAGUUGAUAACACUCCUCGUGUUAUGUGGUCAACUGAGAAAUCCAUAUUUAAAUUGAAUAUAGUAUGUAUACUCUAGAACUCCAUUCACCUAUGGCUCUCUGAUAAGUUCUCAUUGGACGGUUGUUUGCUAACUAUUGCUUCAUUUCAAAAUUUCCCCACUGUAUUGAUCCACUAAAAACUGUUUACUUAUGAUGUAGAUUCAACAAGCUCCCAGUGUGCAGGUGUCUAUUUUACCACGCUGUCGUACUCUCAGUGCAUCUGGACACAGUCUUCUUAUAAGAUAUACUCUUUAAAAAGGCAACACAUAGGCUUUUCGACACAACAGCUCCACAUGUAUUUCUAUCCGUCACCACCGAAUUCUGCCGUGUCUUUAUUGCAGUUCCUGUUCUUGGAGUAAGAGUUCACAAAUAGCUCCAGUUUUCCCUGGAGAAGUUUCUGGUACCGCCCAAGGACUUCUGUGAGACCUGCACAUGUCUGCAGUGGAGACGACGCCUCUGCUGUGGCGUUCUGUCAGUGUAAAAAACACACAAAGGUCUGUCUGCAAAGCAUUUCCUGAAGGACAUAGGCAUGACAUCUGGAAAGCUGAACAAAGCUCUGAAAGAGCUCGCUCAAGAAGGAGAAAAGGCUAGCUUCUGGCUGUGGCUGCGGAGGAACGACAAAAUCUGGGGACCAAGAAGCCACUGAUGUGACCUCUAAGCCAAGCUGCAGGGGGCAGCAGGGAGACAUCCCUGUCCGCUGCCCCACCAUCCUGAGAUGUUCUGGUGAUUAAAGGGGCGAAACAUCUGUGAAGGAUGGCUCCCAGCUGAAGACCCUGCAGCUGGGCUCCUGGCACUGGCGGAAGUGCGACAGGCAUUCUAUGCCUCGCAGGUACUUACACCUACCUGUCAACAAACCUUACAAAAGUGAGUUACAAAUAUAG